rnacentral:rRNA from 1 species
GAUGAACGCUGGCGGUGUGCCUAAUACAUGCAAGUCGUACGCAUUCUCGUUUCUGAUUGACGGUGCUUGCACCUAAUUGACGAGACAUUGGAAUGAGUGGCGGACGGGUGAGUAACACGUGGGUAACCUGCCCAGAAGCGGGGGAUAACAUUUGGAAACAGAUGCUAAUACCGCAUAAAAGUCAUAACCACAUGGUUUUGAUUUGAAAGAUGGCCUUUGUGCUAUCACUUCUGGAUGGACCCGCGGCGUAUUAGCUAGUUGGUAAGGUAACGGCUUACCAAGGCAAUGAUACGUAGCCGAACUGAGAGGUUGAUCGGCCACAAUGGGACUGAGACACGGCCCAUACUCCUACGGGAGGCAGCAGUAGGGAAUCUUCCACAAUGGGCGCAAGCCUGAUGGAGCAACACCGCGUGAGUGAAGAAGGGUUUCGGCUCGUAAAACUCUGUUGUUAAAGAAGAACGUAUCUAAGAGUAACUGCUUAGGUAGUGACGGUAUUUAACCAGAAAGCCACGGCUAACUACGUGCCAGCCGCCGCCGUAA